UACGAAGGGGGCUAGCGUUGUUCGGAAUUACUGGGUGUAAAGGGCGUGUAGGCGGGUUAUUAAGUCGGAUGUUAAAUGCAGAGGCUCAACCUCUGUCCGCAUCCGAAACUAAUAAUCUUGAGUGCUGGAGAGGAAAGCGGAAUUCCUAGUGUAGCGGUGAAAUGCGUAGAUAUUAGGAGGAACACCAGUGGCGAAGGCGGCUUUCUGGACGAGUAACUGACGCUGAGGCGCGAAAGCGUGGG
rnacentral:rRNA from 1 species